AAUUCAAAUUCAAAAAUAUCUUUAUUCAGUAGGUAACAUAGUUACACUUUGAAUCAUAUUUUUUUACAUAACGAACGUCUCAUCCGCCUAAAACUACUGCAGCUUCUUACAACCUGUAUAGCCUACUCUACGUAGUUCCGAUAAUGGCCACUUGCCAAAAUAUCCGUGUCGACCUAUAAGAUCCAUUUUAAUAAUCUCAUAAACAAGGUGUAGGUACUAAGUUAAUGUCUAUUAUUGAAAACCAUAUCGAUGUAAGCUAAAAGCAAGUAUAUAUUUUAUAUUUACAAUUGCGACCAAAAUAAAAUAUUUUUUAAUAAUCAUUCAAAUCGAUAAGAAUUUAUUAGACAUUUUUAUAGAAUUUAUUAAUAAUAUAAUAGUUUUUUUUCAAUGAUAAAUUGAUUUAAUAAUUUGACAUUAUUUAUGUGUAACUAUAAUUAUGUUUAGUCGCAAUUGUAAAAUAUGUAGUUAAAAACAAUACUAUUGUGAAAUCCUUACAGAUAUGUUAACUAUUAGAUGGCCAGAUUUACGAUGUGAAAAAUAUAUAAAUAUAACAUUAUAUUUUAAA